rnacentral:piRNA from 1 species
UAGCAGGAUGGUUUGGAUUCAGGUCUCUGUU